CAAACACUGCCCCCCAUACACACACUGCCACCCUCACAUACACACUGCACUGCGCGCACACACACACACUGCAGCUCUCUCACACACACACUGCCCCACACACACUGCCCCCUAACACACACACACUGCAACUUUUGACAUACACUGACGCCCUCACGCACACACAUCGCCGCUCACACACACACUGCACCUUUCACACACACUUCACUCCUAACACAUACCACUGCUCAUAUGCCCUAUAUCCCAG